AGAGUUUGAUCCUGGCUCAGGAUGAACGCUGGCGGCGUGCUUAACACAUGCAAGUCGAACGGGAUCUUCGGAUCUAGUGGCGGACGGGUGAGUAACACGUGGGAACCUGCCUUCAGGAGGGGGAUAACAACCGGAAACGGGUGCUAAUACCCCAUAGGCCGCAAGGUAAAAGAUUUAUCGCCUGAAGAUGGGCCCGCGUCUGAUUAGCUAGUUGGUGAGGUAACGGCUCACCAAGGCAACGAUCAGUAGCUGGUCUGAGAGGAUGAUCAGCCACACUGGGACUGAGACACGGCCCAGACUCCUACGGGAGGCAGCAGUGGGGAAUUUUCCGCAAUGGGCGCAAGCCUGACGGAGCAACGCCGCGUGGGUGAUGAAGGCCCGUGGGUCGUAAAGCCCUUUUGUCAGGGACGAAAUCUGACGGUACCUGACGAAUCAGCAUCGGCUAACUCCGUGCCAGCAGCCGCGGUAAUUC
rnacentral:rRNA from 1 species